GCGUGAGGAACCUGCCUUUCAGAGGGGGACAACAGUUGGAAACGACUGCUAAUACCGCAUAACACAUAGGUGUCGCAUGGCAUUUAUGUCAAAGAUUUAUCGCUGAAAGAUGGCCUCGCGUCUGAUUAGCUAGUUGGUGAGGUAACGGCUCACCAAGGCGACGAUCAGUAGCCGGACUGAGAGGUUGGCCGGCCACAUUGGGACUGAGAUACGGCCCAGACUCCUACGGGAGGCAGCAGUGGGGAAUAUUGGGCAAUGGGCGCAAGCCUGACCCAGCAACGCCGCGUGAAGGAAGAAGGCUUUCGGGUUGUAAACUUCUUUUGACAGGGAAGAGUAGAAGACGGUACCUGUCGAAUAAGCCACGGCUAACUACGUGCCAGCAGCCGCGGUAAUACGUAGGUGGCAAGCGUUGUCCGGAUUUACUGGGUGUAAAGGGCGUGUAGCCGGGUUGACAAGUCAGAUGUGAAAUCCUGCGGCUUAACCGCAGAACUGCAUUUGAAACUGUUGAUCUUGAGUACUGGAGAGGCAGACGGAAUUCCUAGUGUAGCGGUGAAAUGCGUAGAUAUUAGGAGGAACACCAGUGGCGAAGGCGGUCUGCUGGACAGCAACUGACGGUGAGGCGCGAAAGCGUGGGGAGCAAACAGGAUUAGAUACCCCGGUAGUCCACGCUGUAAACGAUGGAUACUAGGUGU
rnacentral:rRNA from 1 species